rnacentral:rRNA from 1 species
UACAGGGGGUGCAAACGUUGCUCGGAAUCAUUGGGCGUAAAGCGCACGUAGGCGGUUCGUUAUGUCGGAUGUGAAAGCCCUUGGCUUAACCGAGGAAGUGCAUCCGAAACUGGCGAGCUAGAGUACGAAAGAGGAUCGCGGAAUUCCCGGUGUAGAGGUGAAAUUCGUAGAUAUCGGGAGGAACACCGGUGGCGAAGGCGGCGAUCUGGAUCGAUACUGACGCUGAGGUGCGAAAGCGUGGGGAGCAAACAGG